AUUGAACGCUGGCGGCAGGCCUAACACAUGCAAGUCGAGCGAUCGGCGGACGGGUGAGUAAUGUCUGGGAAACUGCCUGAUGGAGGGGGAUAACUACUGGAAACGGUAGCUAAUACCUCAUACCAUCAGAUGUGCCCCGCUGGGAUGAGCUAGUAGGUGGUGUAACGGCUCACCUAGGCGACGAUCCCUAGCUGGUCUGAGAGGAUGACCAGCCACACUGGACCUGAGCCACGGUCCAGACUCCUAUGGGAGGCAGCAGUGGGGAUUAUUGCACAAUGGGAGCAAGCCUGAUGCAGCCCUGCCGCGUGUGUGCAGAAGGCCUUCGGGUUGUAAAGCACUUUCAGCGGGGAGGCGUUACCCGCAGAAGAAGCACCGGCUAACUCCGUGCCAGCAGCCGCGGUAAUAC
rnacentral:rRNA from 1 species